AAUGGGCGAAAGCCUGACGCAGCAACGCCGCGUGCGGGAUGAAGGCCUUCGGGUUGUAAACCGCUUUCAGCAGGGACGAAGAUGACGGUACCUGCAGAAGAAGCCCCGGCCAACUACGUGCCAGCAGCCGCGGUAACACGUAGGGGGCGAGCGUUGUCCGGAUUUAUUGGGCGUAAAGAGCUCGUAGGCGGUUCCGUCAGUCGGGUGUGAAAACUCUGGGCUCAACCCAGAGACGCCACCCGAUACUGCGGUGACUAGAGUCCGGUAGGGGAGUGCGGAAUUCCUGGUGUAGCGGUGAAAUGCGCAGAUAUCAGGAGGAACACCAACGGCGAAGGCAGCACUCUGGGCCGGUACUGACGCUGAGGAGCGAAAGCGUGGGGAGCGAA
rnacentral:rRNA from 1 species